UACGUAGGGGGCAAGCGUUGUCCGGAAUCAUUGGGCGUAAAGCGCGUGUAGGCGGCUCAGUAAGUCUGUUCUGAAAGUCCAAGGCUCAACCUUGGAAUGCGGAUGGAUACUGCUGGGCUCGAGUCCGGAAGAGGCGAGUGGAAUUCCUGGUGUAGCGGUGAAAUGCGCAGAUAUCAGGAGGAACACCAAUGGCGAAGGCAGCUCGCUGAGACGUGACUGACGCUGAGACGCGAAAGCGUGGGGAGCAAACAGG
rnacentral:rRNA from 1 species